rnacentral:lncRNA from 1 species
UGUUGAGGUAAAAGUAUUUCUUUUUAGAGUUAAGCUGCUUAAGACUACAAAAGCAGGUUUUAUGUAAUGUAACUUAGUAUAUAAAUAGCCAAAAGAAUGGGUAUAGACUAAGUAUAUCUUCCUUAAAUAUAUUUUUGCAGGUCUUUUUUUUUAGUAGAAUUUUUUAUAACACUUUGUUUUAGGUUAAAAUUUUUAGUAAAACUCCAAAGAUGUGUUUUGCUGUAUAAAUGAGUAUAUAAUAUUCUUAAUGCUCAAUAUGCAGAUUGUGUCUUAGACUUUCUUUUCAACUCUGUCCUCUUUGUAAAGGACCAACUAAAAUAUUACAUGUAAAAAAUGCUUCUCAACAGAUUAAUCAUGGGUAGGUAAUUUUUAAGGCCUAAUAUCUGAUAGACUGUCACACAUUUUGUUGAAUAUUCUGUUUGGGCCAUCCUUAUUCCAGCUCCAUAUCAACUGACUUUCUAUGUAAGUCCAGGAAUGAAUACAGCAAAUAUUCCUUUCUGAACAAUCUCUGUAAUACUCAUAGUAUUACUACAUUUGCAAGUAAAACAACAUUUGAAGAUAUUUAGUAUUUCUUGACAUGUUACUAUGAAUCUUGAGAUAGGCAAUCUUUUAACCUAUCUGAUCAAUGUUAGUUGUGAGAAAGGUGUUUUGUUUUUUUCUCAUUGUUGGCACAUCUUAUUCUCUGUAAUCCACUCAUAGGUUUUCAUUCUUAUCUUUCUUCUUACCCCUAUUCUUUCUUCUUUCCUCCAUCACUUAGCUCCUUUGUUUGUUCUUUCUUCCUUUCAUCAUGCAAUUAUUUAUUUCAUAUUAAACUCAGGAAGUAAUCAAAUCAUUUACUAUAUACCAGGUAAAUAUCUGACCUGAAUGAAAAAUGUCUCACUCACAGCAGCCUGGUAUAGGUGGAAAAGUUUGGCUGUGUGUAGGAUAGUUCAUAGGUAGUGUUGUAAGAUUAUAUAUUCAUAGUUCUUUGGAGCCAAAAGUUUAUGAAUAAGUUUAUUCUCACAUUGGAGAAAGAACAAAAUUAAUAUUAUGAUGUGGAAGGAAUAAUAGUAAAAAAAACAAAUAAACCUAUAUGAAAAAAUAAAGAUCACUGGCUUUAUUCUGCCUAAAAGUCAUGGUCACUGACAUAAUAUGAAGGAUGAACAGAAGAUGUGCAUUGGUGAUGAAUUUCCUGACAUAUGUGUGGAGAAUAAAUGGACAAGUGACUGUGGAGGCUUGAAGGCCAUCUGGGAACUUAUUUGUGAAAAAAUCCAAAAUAAAUAAUUCAAAUCUAUAAAACUCAGAGAUUAUUGAAUGUAGAAAAUGGCUGAAGGAGAAAUGCCUUAUGUUUUAAAUUUCUGGUGCAGGAGACUAAAUGGAUGGAGUCAUCAUUUAAACAACUCAGAAAAAUAGUGAGAAGGAAAACUUGAGUUCAUAAUGAUGUGUUCACACUUGUUAAUCAUUGUGAGACAUACACCUAACUGAGCAUUUCUUUUAUAUACCGUGCUUUAUUCAAUUCUGUUUGUAUGUAUGUCCCAGAAUGGCAGAUUGGCAUGGGAAUAGAGGUUAAGAUUCUGAAGACAGACUGCCUGAGUUUGAAUCAUGGCUUAAAGUUUAUAGCUUGUAUGAAGG